rnacentral:lncRNA from 1 species
GUGUGUGUGUGUGUGUGUGUGUGUGUGUGUGUGUGUGUGUGUGUGUGUGUGUGUGUGUGUGUGUGUGUGUGUGUGUGUGUGUGUAAGCGUGUGUGUAAGCGUGUGUGUAAGCGUGUGUGUAAGCGUGUGCGUGUGUGAUCUGUUGUUUGAUUUAGUGCGUCCACCUUCACAAGGACCAGCCUCUUAUCAGAUCAAAGCUGCAGCCGUAGCCCAUGAACGUGUCUGUGUGUGUGUGUGUUCAUGGUGGAGCACAGAGGUGUAGGUGAGGUGGGGGUGUUUUCGUUGCUUUUAACCCAGGACAAUGGGACAGCAAAGGAGAGCGCCAGCGAGUACUCUUUGAACUAAUGAAGAGGAAACCUUUUACUCUCCUCCAUAAAGAUGCCCAGUGCUCCCUGUGCUACGGAUUUUACCUCUUUCAAAGUGGAAUAAAAUAGAAGCGAAGAAACUAUUUCAUUUGCUUCACGCUUCUCACUGUCCUGUUUUUAUCCUCCUAAACCCACAGUUGUAGACAAAACGCCACACAAGGCAAAAGCAAGGCUUCAGAAAGAUUAUUAGAGCUGUAAUACAUGAGCAUCUAUUGUGAGUCAAGGUGUGAACACCAAACUUACAAAGGUGAAGAGAAUAUAAAUUAGAUUUUCUGUGUUUUAUCUUUUGUACUUUUUGGCUAAACCGACCAAGAUUUAACAUGUUCCAUGAUUUAAUCCAUGACUGUUGUGUUUUGAAGGUUCGCUGGCUUCAGAGGCAGCACAGUCUUUACAGAGAGAAGCGGCUUCCUGUGUCAAGACCCGGCCCCGUUUUCACCGAUGGUUCCCAGAGGAGGGAGUCCGCCUCUGGCAGGAAGCCGGCGAAGAAGAACCGCGACCAGUUUCUCACCUUCAACGACCCACUCUGGCACAUGCAGUGGGAACUGUUCGCCCAGGACGAGUACGGCGCCAGCGGGGCCGACCUGAACGUGAUGCCAGUGUGGAACAACAACAUCACCGGCGAUGGAGUGGUGGUCAGCAUCAUCGACGAUGGUUUAGAUUACACCAACAAAGACCUGAAGAAAAACUUUGUAAGUAAACCGACAAUUAAGUUCCUGAACAAUAACUGGUCUCGACCAAAUCCCGUUAAAGCUCGGCUGUAAAAUAUCACCACUUUGGUUAUUUUGUGACGAUCUUUGAGAUGGUUAUGCAAUUUAAUUUCUGAUCCUGCUGUCCUUUCACGAGAUUAUAUCCAGCCACUGUGCUGUUUGGGUUUUCAUUAGACUGAAAUCUUCGUAUCGACUUUUUCCUCAACUGCCCGACUUCUGUGUUACUUAGAACCCGAGACAGUAAAAGUUUCAUGCAGUGAUGAAGCUGCUCUGC